UACAGGGGGUGCUAGCGUUGUUCGGAAUUACUGGGCGUAAAGGGCGCGUAGGCGGUCUUGUAAGUCAGGAGUGAAAUCCCGGAGCUUAACUUCGGAAUUGCUUUUGAAACUACAAGGCUAGAGUGAGUUAGAGGAUGGCGGAAUUCCUAGUGUAGUGGUGAAAUACGUAGAUAUUAGGAAGAACACCGGUGGCGAAGGCGGCCAUCUGGGACUCAACUGACGCUGAGGCGCGAAAGCGUGGGGAU
rnacentral:rRNA from 1 species